CCUACGGGAGGCAGCAGUGAGGAAUAUUGGUCAAUGGGCUUACGCCUGAACCAGCCAAGUCGCGUGAGGGAAGACUGCCCUAUGGGUUGUAAACCUCUUUUGUCAGGGAGCAACGCCGGCUACGUGUAGCCGGACUGAGAGUACCUGAAGAAAAAGCAUCGGCUAACUCCGUGCCAGCAGCCGCGGUAAUACGGAGGAUGCGAGCGUUAUCCGGAUUUAUUGGGUUUAAGGGGUGCGUAGGCGGAAUGCCAAGUCAGCGGGAAAAUCGCGGGGCGCAAUCUCGCUCCGCCGUUGAAACUGGCGUUCUUGAGUGGGCGAGAAGUAUGCGGAAUGCGUGGUGUAGCGGUGAAAUGCAUAGAUAUCACGCAGAACUCCGAUUGCGAAGGCAGCAUACCGGCGCCCAACUGACGCUGAAGCACGAAAGUGUGGGUAUCGAACAGGAUUAGAUACCCUUGUAGUC
rnacentral:rRNA from 1 species